UACGGGGGGGGCAAGCGUUGUUCGGAAUUACUGGGCGUAAAGGGUUCGUAGGUGGCUUGCUAAGUCAGACGUGAAAUCCCUCAGCUUAACUGGGGAACUGCGUCUGAUACUGGCGAGCUUGAGUGCAGGAGAGGAACGCAGAAUUCCAGGUGUAGCGGUGAAAUGCGCAGAUAUCAGGAGGAACACCGGUGGCGAAGGCGGGUCUCUGGGCAGUAACUGACGCUGAGGAGCGAAAGCGUGGGGAGCGAACAGG
rnacentral:rRNA from 1 species